rnacentral:rRNA from 1 species
CCUACGGGUGGCUGCAGUGAGGAAUAUUGGACAAUGGGCGCAAGCCUGAUCCAGCCAUGCCGCGUGCAGGAUGACGGUCCUAUGGAUUGUAAACUGCUUUUGCACAGGAAGAAACAACGCUACGUGUAGCGUCUUGACGGUACUGUGAGAAUAAGGAUCGGCUAACUCCGUGCCAGCAGCCGCGGUAAUACGGAGGAUCCAAGCGUUAUCCGGAAUCAUUGGGUUUAAAGGGUCCGUAGGCGGUUUAGUAAGUCAGUGGUGAAAGCCCAUCGCUCAACGGUGGAACGGCCAUUGAUACUGCUAGACUUGAAUUAUUAGGAAGUAACUAGAAUAUGUAGUGUAGCGGUGAAAUGCUUAGAGAUUACAUGGAAUACCAAUUGCGAAGGCAGGUUACUACUAAUGGAUUGACGCUGAUGGACGAAAGCGUGGGUAGCGAACAGGAUUAGAUACCCCAGUAGUC